GCCCAGAUGGCGGAAUUGGUAGACGCACCAGUUUCAGGUACUGGCGCUGUAAAAGGCGUGGAGGUUCGAGUCCUCUUCUGGGCACCA
rnacentral:tRNA from 1 species